UACCUGGUUGAUCCUGCCAGUAGUGUAUGCUUCUCCUAAAGACUAAGCCAUGCAUGUCUCCGAAUAGAAGAGCAAGUCUCUCUGAAUCUGCGAACGGCUCCGCAUACCAGUUGUAAACCAUAGCAAGCAAGCCGCGUUGUUGCCGCAAGGCGACGGCGCGGUUCACAGGGAUAACCCUGGUAAUUCUGAGGCUAAUACAAGAACGUACCACCCGCUUCGACCCGUAAGGGGAGGGCGGGGGUUGUGUGACCCAGGUCGCAAAUAUUAACUGGGAGUGGCCACACGAUCUGACCACCAUACCAAACGGUUAUCCGCUUCGAAAGCUUCGGUGAGUAACGGCGGAUUUCUGGGUGGCUCUCGCUGUGUGCUUCUGACCUAUCAACUAGAUGGCAGCGUAACGGACAUGCCAUGGUAACAACGGGUACAGAGGAUAAGGGUUCGAUCCUGGAGAGUGGGCCUGAGAGAUUGCUCACACUUCUAAGGAAGGCAGCAGGCGCGCAACGUUCCCAUUGGGCAAAGCUCGAGGGCGUUAGGGGACAUAUGAAUGCCUGCCUUAUGGUGGGCAAUUCAAAUGGGACUGUUUUAAACAUCCUAUCGAGUAACAAUUAGAGGACAAGUCUGGUGCCAGCACCCGCGGUAAUUCCAGCUCUAAUAGCAUACGUUAAAGUUGUUGCGGUUAAAACGCUCGUAGUCGGCUCCAGACCUUCAGAGCCUUGAUUCGGGACACUGGGUCAGCUGCUCUUCUCCAAGAGCGCGCCAACUACUGAUGAUAGGGGACGUCGGUCAAUCGUGCCCUGGGCUGUCUCCCCCCCGGGGGAGUCACAGGGUCGUUCAGCGGUCUUCGCGAUCGCGGUUCGGCUCGGCUCGGGGUACCAAUCACCAUGAUUAAACCGUAGUGACCAAAGCACGUCUUUAGACGGGCACGGCACAGCAUGGGACGAAACGCACCGGGCUCGCCUUUUUUUUGCGGGGGCGUGACUCGGUAAAAGCGAAAGGGAUGUUCGAGGGUGACCGAAUUGCUGGGCGAGUGGUGAAAUACGUUGACCCUAGCAAGUCGACCAAAGGCGUAAGCAGUCAUCAAGGGCAUUCCCGUUGAUCAAGAGCGAAAGUUAAGGGUUCGAAGACGAUCAGAUACCGUCGUAGUCUUAACUAUAAAUGAUGCAGACCAGGGAUAGGACAGUGUCCAUCUCGACUCUUCCGGACCUUGGAGAAAUCACGAGUCUAUGGGUUCUGGGGGGAGUAUGGUCGCAAGGCUGAAACUUAAAGGAAUUGACGGAAGGGCACACAAAGAGUGGAACCUGCGGCUUAAUUUGACUCAACACGGGAAAACUCACCAGGUCCGGAUACACGUAUGAAAGUCAAGCUGAAAGACUUUACUCAAUGAUGUAAGUGGUGGUGCAUGGUCGUUCUUAGUUCGUGGAUUGAUUUGUCUGGUUUAUUCCGAUAACGAGCGAGACCCCGGCGUUCCUAAUAGGGGUGGCAGCCAGACCGGUCGCAAGACAGGUUAGCUCGCCACCUGAAGUUAUGCUUCUUAGACGUAUCAGAGCCGAUAAGGUUCUUGAAAUGGGUUAAUAACAGGUCAGUCAUGCCCUUAGAUGUUCUGGGCCGCACGCGCGUUACAAUGGCAUGUAAAACGAGUGCUUGAACAAGGCGUCCCACGGCCGAAAGGUCGUGGUAACCCUUAGUCCCUGCUUUGACUGGGACAGAUCUUUGCAAUUAUUGGUCUCAAACGAGGAAUUUUUAGUAAUCGCAGGUCAUUAACCUGCGUUGAAUGCGUCCCUGCCCUUUGUACACACCGCCCGUCGCUGCUACCGAUUGGGUUUUACAGUUACGCGUUCGGAGGACGAUGUUUUCGGGUCUUAACGGGCUCCGGGGCGUCGGCCAAAGUUCUAACUACUGUACGGCCUAGAGGAAGCAGAAGUCGUAACAAGGUAAUCGUAGGUGAACCUGCGUUUGGAUCAUUA
rnacentral:rRNA from 1 species